rnacentral:lncRNA from 1 species
UAUAAACAAUUUGAUUAAAAACAUAUGUUUAAAAAUUCAUCAGUACAUGGGAGAUAUGAUGAUUUAUCAUUGAAGAUUUAGGAUGAUGGGCAGAGAAAGGCAAUCUGUUUUGUCUAUUGUCCAAUCAGUGCAUGUGAAGAUUUGUUACAGUAUCCAGAAAGACUAAAAAAGACCAAGCCUGUUAAACAACUCCAUCAAAGAAAAACAAGGAAGCCAUCCAGCUUUGUUCUGGACUCAGCAGCUAAGAUGGCACGAGCUUCAUUGUAAAGCAUAGUUCUAUGUCAUGUCUACUGGAUGAAUCCAAUGUGGCUGGUCCCUUAAUAAAAUAAGUUGUAACAUGAAUGAGACUGCACAUGUUUUCCUGUUUGGUGCUGAGAACAAAGCUGCCCAGUUAGAGAAAAUAUCCCAUUGCAGUUAACACUGAAUCACUAAGGCUUUAUCCAGGAAUAGUACUCAAAGUGCUCAGAUGUUCCUUUAAAUUCAUUUACCUGGGUAACUGCUGAAAGAGAGGCGACUACUGCUGGUAUCUUUAUCUAUGAUGUUGAAGUCCCAGUGUUUAUAUAUCCUGAGCAUGGCUGCAUACGUGUACCAGCUUGAGUGAGCAAAAAGGAUGUUCUCAAAUCCAGGAAGAACCUACAGCCAGAAUCAUAGUGGAUUACACAGAUGUACAUAGCUAACUGACUGCAAUUGUCUUAAGUGUAAGAGGCAUACAGGGAUUGUGCCAUUUCAGUACCAGCAGCAACUUCCCAGUUUUGGCAACCAAAAAUAUCUCCAAGACUUUGCCAAGUGUCCUCUGGAGAGAAACCACUCUUAGACGAGAACCACUGCUAUACAGCAAAAACAUUCAACUAAGAUGCUUUUGGUUUUGAUUGUGUGUUUACUAUAAGACUAACUGACCAGCCAGCAUUAACUUUGAAGCAAUUAUCAGAUUGUACUUGAACAUGAACUUUGUGCAAACUGGAGAGCACUGCUCCAGGAAGAUUCAAUCUGCUGGAGCAGGUCCGGGUUAGGCAUCAACAAAUUGGUUUUGGGGUAGAGGUGGUGGGAAGACAAACACAAAUGACAUUUUAACCAAAAAACUAAAACCAAAGCAAAAAUUCAAUCCAAUUUUUAUUUAUAUAAAUAUCAUC